ACAGCUAGGAGAGUAGCUUACUCUUGAUACAUAAGUAAUAAAAUUUCAGUUACUGUGUAUAAUUGUUUAACAUCAUACUUGCAUUAAGUUUUUUACUUUCAGAUGUAAAAGAUAUUUUGUGUUCUAAUAGUACUUCUCUCUGAAGACAAUAGUUGGUUAUGGCUGUGGUUAAUAAUCAGGAUACCAAAGUUAAAGAAAGGAGAUAUGUUUCUUUGUGGUGAAAGUGCAAGAAAUAACACCAUAUUCUGACUUACAAAAUGAUCACUCAUACUGCAUGCAAUACAGGGAAAGGCAUCAAACCAAGCCUCUAGAAUACAUACAUUUGUAGAAUGUAUUUUCUAUGAUGUACACAUCGCAGAGGAUACUUUAUGUUCCAAAAAUUCAAAUACAAAUUGUGUCAGCUCCUGUGACAAACUUAAGACGGAAGUUAACCAGAGUAUGAAAUCACCAUUAUCAAUAUGUAAAUUCCAACCAGUGACUAUAUAUUUAUUCAAAUAGUGUCAUGAAUGGAAUUAAAAAAGGACUUGGAAAAUUAACAUGUUUUAAUAUUGCUUUGUGUGUUAAUAAAAUUUGUCAGCAAGAACAAA